CGGGAAGUGGCAUAGCGGCUAUUGCGGUCGGCUGUAGACUGGCUUGUCAUGGGUUCGAGUUCCAUAUUCCCGA
rnacentral:tRNA from 1 species